GCGGAAGUUUUCGGAUGGAAGCAAUAAACCUUAGCGGCGGACGGGUGAGUAACGCGUGGGUAACCUGCCUCAUACAGGGGGAUAACAGUUAGAAAUGACUGCUAAAACCGCAUAAGCGCACAUUGUCGAGUGACAGAGUGUGAAAAACUCCGGUGGUAUGAGAUGGACCCGCGUCUGAUUAGCUAGUUGGUGAGGUAACGGCCCACCAAGGCGACGAUCAGUAGCCGGCCUGAGAGGGCGACCGGCCACAUUGGGACUGAGACACGGCCCAAACUCCUACGGGAGGCAGCAGUGGGGAAUAUUGCACAAUGGGGGAAACCCUGAUGCAGCGACGCCGCGUGAGUGAAGAAGUAUUUCGGUAUGUAAAGCUCUAUCAGCAGGGAAGAAGAAAGACGGUACCUGACUAAGAAGCCCCGGCUAACUACGUGCCAGCAGCCGCGGUAAUACGUAGGGGGCAAGCGUUAUCCGGAUUUACUGGGUGUAAAGGGAGCGUAGACGGCUGUGCAAGUCUGAAGUGAAAGCCCAGGGCUCAACCCUGGGACUGCUUUGGAAACUGUGGAGCUAGAGUGCUGGAGAGGUAAGUGGAAUUCCUAGUGUAGCGGUGAAAUGCGUAGAUAUUAGGAGGAACACCAGUGGCGAAGGCGGCUUACUGGACAGUAACUGACGUUGAGGCUCGAAAGCGUGGGGAGCAAACAGGAUUAGAUACCCUGGUAGUCCACGCGGUAAACGAUGAAUACUAGGUGUUGGAGAGCAAAGCUUUUCGGUGCCGUCGCAAACGCAAUAAGUAUUCCACCUGGGGAGUACGUUCGCAAGAAUGAAACUCAAAGGAAUUGACGGGG
rnacentral:rRNA from 1 species